rnacentral:lncRNA from 1 species
GUAAACCGGGACAAUACCUUGAAGAAAGGUUCUGUCUUUUUUUGGAACCUAAUUUUUUAGUUUUCUAACUAAUUAAGAGCAAUUAUAAUUUGUUUAAAUACUUAGUUGUCGUCUCCCUCUUGUAGUGGUUUGAUAACUAGGCUACUUUAUGGGUCGAUAUGCACAACACCUAGUUUCCAUUGUUUAUGGCUAGGAUUAUUGGGGUAUGUAAUCCAGCUCGCUGCCCUAGCUAUCUCUCAGUGUUUAGUGAGCUUGAAAUGAUCUGUGUUUGAUGAUUCCAUAAUCUAUAAUUGAGUUUUCAACGUAUGAACCUGUUUCGCGCGAAUUAAGUCGCUAACAAUUAAAAAGGAUCAGACGAUUGUGUAAGGGACAAACCUCUUGAGACAAAGUCCCAAAAAGGGGUGUUCUUUUAUAGGCGAUGAACUUUACAAUUGGAAAUGAAAAACAGCGUGCCUUCAAGGGGCGCAAGCACACGAGUUACAGAAAGAAAAGCGUUUAAAUCUAAAAGCUAAGGAAAUGAAAAUUACAUAUUCUCUGUUCGAGAGUUUUGGAUUCGGUCCCCUGCUUCUACGUCCUUUCUCCCUUUUAUACCUCAUAGACGAUCUCUUUGUGAUUAACUACUCUAAAAACCGCUUGAUCAUCCUAUAACUACCCACUUUCUUUGUAGUGGCCAUUUUGUCAUGAAACUGUCUUUUAACUGCUGCCAUUAUCUUUCAUCGUUCAACCGCUUUCGAUUGAAUUCCUUGAGUCGUGGAACGUGAUAAGGCUACUUUAACAACUGCCUUGAUAACUGCAUUUCUUGAUAACCACGAUGCGUUAUGUUUGUUGAUACCUUGGGCGACUUGAAGGUUUGGGCGAGAAUAGAAUAACAGCUCUGGGCGACCGUAUGACACUCUAUUCGUUCAGAUUCUGGGCGACUUGCAAACUUGGACAAUGGCAUUACCGCAUUCUUGGGCCCCUUAUUUGGGCCUUCACCUUGAUUCGUUCAAUUGGACUUCGUUCUUUGGGCUAUCCGAUUUGGGGAUCCUCCAAUUGGGCUUUACUCCUUGGGCUGUUCGAUUUUUUAUGUGUCAACAAUUACCCCCCAAUAUGGCAGAAUUAAUAAUAAUUAUUAAAUUUUGCCAAAUUCACUUCAUGUUUCCAGCAACGUUCGAAAUUCCCAAGAAUUUCAAUCAUUGUUUCCUUCUAUAACUUGAAAAAGUGCGUCGUUUUGCAAACCCUUAUAAACCCCAAACACGCCAUUUCACUGCUACCAAACCACACCUCAUAUUUUCUACAUCUCUUUCACGAUUCACUGUUCAUCUUUUGCUUCCUUGUUACGUAACCCUGAAAAGCUUCGUUCCUUCUCCAAUGGCUGCUUCACAAUCUCAAGCUAGCGAUUCCUUUAGUUUUGAUGACUUUCAGAAGCUUCUGAGUCGCCCAUAUAUAACCCCAAGUUUUCUCGCGCCCGCCGACGUUGGACGUAAUGAGUUUUACUUGGGUCAUUUCUUCAACAAUCCGGAGGCAGUUGAACAGGCGGCGGUGGGUCAGCGGCGGUGGGUCAGCAGUUUCCUUGCACUCAUGGCCCUCAUUUUCUAAACUCUCUGCCGCUGGGGCCACUUCGCGAAAGAGGUAUUCGCACUUGGCCUAAAUCUGAUGUAGCUUUUCGUAGGUGGCAUGCUCGCCUUGUGGGCCAUGGUCCUACUAAGGCACUUUUUGAUAGCGCUAGGAUUUCUGAUUUGUUAGAAGUCUCUAUUCGCCCCCUACUUUUGAUUCAGCGCUCUUUUCGAUUGCUUUGAGCUUUUGGUCCCCUGAAUAUAACACCUUUAUUUUUCCUCUUGGCCCCAUGUCUAUUACGUUAAGGGAUGUUGGGGCCCUGGUGAAUUUACCAACUUUGGGCGAUACCAUUUUCCCAGGUAUCUUAGUUUCUGGUGGCGCCCCACAGUUUUGCAAAAACUAUAUCGACUCUUAUUCGAGCCUGUAGACUCUCCACAAUCAUUCGAGUGCUGAGCCUACCCAUACUGAGCGAGUGACCUUCCUUUUAGUUUGGCUUUGUAAAUAUGUGUUGUGCGUGCCAAGUAUAAGGCCUUCUCUGAGUUAUUUACCCAUAGCGCAUGAAUUGGCGCGUGACAGGCCUUUGAAUUUAUGUUCUUUGUUUUUGGCUGCCCUUUACAGAGGCAUAGCCUCUUUUCACGCUCAAUUGAAGAAUGGUGCAUCUCCCACUGGCAGUGGACCUCUUUGGUUCACUCAACUAUGGUUGAGAUCCUAUUUUCUAUCGCUUGGUGCUCCAUCCAUUUCUCGUCCUUCUGCUAGCUGUUACGGGCUAGCUAUGAAGCCCUUAACUCCUGUAAAUAUGUCCAGAAGGGACAUUUUUUCAUUCUUUUAUUCUUUAAAUUCAAUCUCUUCCUUUUUUCCUUUUCCUCCUUUUUUGACUCCAAACUAUGUACAUCCUCCUUCCACCAUAGAUAGCGCGAGCACCUCCCUGCUCAUUUGGAUUCAGUUUUUAACCGGGAGGGAGCUAUUUCAUGAUAUUCUAACUGGGACUAAUGCCAAAGCGGGGGUCGAAAUUUAUGCUCCCCAAUUUUUUGCUCGCUAGCUUGGUUUUGGCCAAACUUGGCCUGUUCCUCUUUGCUAUUCGAAGAACUUAAUUGACCGUUUUCAUACCAUUAAUAAGGCGAAAGCAGAGGCUAUAAACGCUCGCAACCUCCAUUUAUCAAGCCACUUUUCCUUAGCCCCUUUUAAUUCUUGUCAUGCCACUCACCCUCUUUUUGAACAAUUCUGGCCAUCGGUGAAGCGCAGAUUAUUUGCGACUGAGGCCAAUCGUGCCUUUCAUUCAUUAGACCAACCAAGCAUUUCUUCUCCUCCUCCUGUUUUGGUCACUCUUUUGUCUGUUCGGAGCCCCUCUCCUUCUCGUUGCGCUAAACAGUCUGCUCAUCCAUCUUCUUCUCUCCCUGCUAAGCCUACUAUGGCCAAGAGCGUUCCAAACCGCAAACGGCCAGCCUCAACAUCUCUCAUUCUGGAGGAUGAUGUUGAUGAUGAUGAUGAUGCCCCUCUUAUCGUCAGGAGGAAGGUAAUUAAAUUGGUCUGUUUACAAAUAUGCUUUUCCACAUUUGAAACUUUUCUGUGUACUGAUGAUCUUUUGGACUUUUCAGAAAAGCUCAGCCUCUCCUUCAAAGGCUUUGGCAUCGACAACUCUUGCUCCAUCAUCCUCUGCUAAGGCUACUUCAUCCAAACCGGUUGAUGAAGGGACCAUACUUAAAGAUACAUCUUCAGUCCCAGAGUCUUCAUCACAACUCAUGGAUGAACCACCUUCCUCUCAGGGCGUCGACCCCCCAAACGUCGAAACAGAAGGUAAUUCAGUUUUUUGAUGUCUUACCUUUGCUCGUGCUAUUGGUCUCUGAUUUGUUGCUCUUGAGCUUUGCAGAUACUCCUAUGAGUCCGCCCGUUGUGGCAACAUCUUCUCGCUCGGACAAGGGGAAGUCCUCACGAAUGGAUGAGUCGUUGGAGGCAAGCUUGGCUGAGGGUGCGCCAUCUUCUACGAUUGUCGACGAGGUAGUUUUUCUUUUUGCUUCAUUUCUAUUUCCACCUUGUUCGUUGUAGUGAGGAUUUUCAAUAUUGGCAAUCUUCUUUGUAGGACGCUGACAGGAUUGUGCGUUCUAUCCAAGACUUGUUUGCUUCCUGGGGGCAAAUUCAGACGUUUCGCCCUGCUCCAUCCGAUCGUCCUGUUACUUCUUCAGAGGAAGACUUGAAGUUCCUGAAGGAAUUGAUAUUUGAGUACGUAUCCUUCAUGGAUAUGGAUAUUGGAAGGGCUAAUGCUGCCAGGCACAAAGAUGAACUUGAACACUUGAGUGCGAAGUUGAAGCAAGCAUUGACGCUUCUGUCGCUCAAUCUUUCUGUCGAUUUUAAAGCGACGUUGAAGGUUAUCCACUCCGAGGUCCUUUCUAUGCUGGCCAAGAAUACUGAACUAAAGGCCAAGCGUACUCAAUAUCUUCGAGCCGUAGCUGAGAAAGAGUCUUUGCGUAUGGAGAUUAACAAGGCUGAAGACGAGUUGAAAGAAAUCUCCUACGAGGUCAUGAUUGAAGACUCUUUGAUGGUUAAUUUGGCUGCUCAGAUGAGGGAACUUCAAGCUAAAAUGGACGACUGCAGGGCGAGGAUGGCUGCUAAAAAGCGUAACGCUUCCCAGGGAAUUGAGCAAACUAAGUCCUUGGUCGAGCAGUACAAGAAGUUGGAGGUUGAUGAUGAUGACGUCGCGGCUGAAUUGAGCAUCACUUCUUCUCGACAGAACGAGAAUUGGGAAAAACUUAGGGAACGAAUUCGUUCUUUAUGGGGUAGACUGUAAUUAAGACAUAGAUGUCUCUUUUCUUUUGUAAUUCAAUUUUUCCUUUUGUAACUUUGUUCAUUAUUAAUGAACAUUAAUUUCUUGUGCAUUUAUUUGUUUAUUUUUUAGUCAUCAAUUCUUUUAGCACUUAACUGCUUUGCACUAAGAAUCUUGUCCAUUCCCUCUUGAUAUUCCCACUACUGUUCCCAAAACUUAGGGCUAUUUAAUUCCGUUUAUUAGACAGAAAUGUGGCUAUUCAUAUUCUGUCUAUUCAUCUUCACCCCCUAUAAAUGCUUCGCAUUUUUCAUCCUCUAUCUUCAUCUCUUCAUUUUCUUCUUCGAAAUCAAUUUGAUGCCAUUCCUUGGCAUUCUGACAAUCAACCUGAUUCAAAAAUGGAUUGUUUAGUCCGUCCGCCUUAUAUUUACCUUGAUGUCACCUUUGGUAUGGGAGGUAUAGGAAAUAUUUUCUGGCCAGCAGCGAAGUUCUUUCCUGCAAAAUUCUUCCCAUCGUCUCUUUGUUCUUCACAAUGAGUCAAUGAUGGGAGGCAAUUUUUGGGCUGCUUGUGGGCCACUUUGCUUGCUGAGAGUGCUUCUCAGCUUGCCUGCUGAGAGUGUUUCUCAGCCUCUUUGCUCGUCAUUGCAGCGAUGCAUUUAGGAAGGUGAUGAGGCCAGUACACCCUCUCACUCGGCAAUCCCACCAUUGCAGCGAUACAUUUAGGAAGGCGGUGGGGCCAGUACACCCUCUUACUCGUCAAUCCCACCAUUGCAGCGAUGCAUUUAGGGAGGCGGUGUGAAGCUUACUCAGCGAUCAACCGGGAGAUCAUCUUACUUUAGUUGUAUUUUGUAGUACGUCCAUUAUUUGUAUCUUUUGUAUUCUUGUAAUGAACGUUUAAUAAUAAAGAACUUUAUUCGAACGUAUUUCGCUCUGUCUUUAUUAUCUUUUGAUCGUGCAGAAUGUUUGGUUAUGUUUUUAUCUGUUCACAUUCCCAUAAAGAAUGAACAUAUUUUUUUCAAAUAUUUGUCGUUAAUGAAUCUUACGUGCUUGGUGCCGUCUAGAUCUUCCAAGUGGUACGCUCCAUUAGGCAACACACUAUUUAUUUUGUAUGGUCCUUCCCAAUUGGGCGACCACUUCCCGUACUUUGGAUCCUUGGUAUCCAAAGGGAGAAUUGUCUUCCAAACUAGUUCAUUCAGGCUGAACGACUUGGCUAUGACUUUUUAUUAUAAAAUUUAGCCAUUCUUUGCUUUUGAACUUGCAACCUAUCUAAGACGUCCAAUUUCAAUUCGUCUAAACUCAAUAAAUUUUGAACUAGUGAUUCGGCAUACUCGUCAUCAUUCAACUUAUGUUGCAAGCACACUCGAAUCGAUUGCACAUUGAUUUCUAUAGGCAAAACAGCCUCCUGUCCAUAAACAAGUUGAAAAGGAGUAACUUUGGUACUUGACCGAUGUGAUGUUCUAUAAGCCCAUAAGUCUUGUUCAAACAUUCGUGCCAAUUUCUGGCGUUUUCAUCUAUCAUCUUUCUGAUGAUAUUUUUUAGAAUCUUAUUAGAAGAUUUCGCUUAUCCGUUGGAUUGAGCGUAGUACGGUGUGGAGUUUACUAAUUUAAUCCCAAAUUCGCUCAAAAAUUUGUUCACUUGAUCCCCAUUCAAAGAUGUUCCGUGAUCUACCAUUAAAGUUUGUGGAAUUCCAAACCUAUAAAUAAUGUGAUCACGAAUGAACUCUAUAACAUUCUUCUGGGUGAUCUCUUUCAAAGGUACCGCCUCUACCCAUUUGGUGAAAUAGUCGGUUGCAACUAUAACAAAAGUAUGUUGUUUGGACGAUGGAGGGUAGAUCUUCCCUAUCAGAUCUAUCGCCCAACCUUUGAACGGCCAAGGUUUAAUAAUAGGUAUCAUCUCUCGUGCUGGCGCCCUUUGUAUUGGACCAUAUUUUUGGCAUGCUAAACAACUUUUUGCAUACUGAACGCAUAGUUCUCCCAUCUUUGGCCAAAAAUAUUCACUCCUAAUAAUUAACCAUCUCAUCCUUUGGCCAGCUUGAUGAGCUCCACAUAUCCCUUCGUGCACUUCAGCCAUGAUUGUCUUGGCUUCUUGCAAACUUACACACUUUAGUAAUACACCAUCAGAGCGUUUCUUAAACAACUCUUCCUCUAUUAGUGUGUAAUUCAGCAAACAUAGCUUCGUUUUCCUACUAAUCCCCCCAUUAGGUUCUUUAAGGAACCUUUCAAUCUCUAUUCUCCAAUCUACUGCAUCUCUAUCUUGUAUACAGUGAAAUUCAAUUUUUCUCGCCCUUCUUUGAGUUACGGGCAAUAUGGUUCCAUACUCACAAGUAGACUUCCAAUUCAAGAUCUUUGAGUACCCUGAAGCCAUUUGGGCUAACUCAUUCGCCACGUCGUUAUAUAUCCUAUUAACGCAUUGAAGUUCUACUUGAUCGAAUUCCUCUAAUAAUUCUUAGGCGAUUUCAUAUUGACUUAUAAUGGAAUCACUUUGGCAUUUAAAAUCACCGAUCAAUUGAUGUAUCACUAAUUGAGAAUCGCCCUUAACGAUCACAUUUCUUACUCCCAUAUCUAUCAUUAGUUCUAGGCCUACAAUUAAGGCUUUAUAUUCGGCCUGAUUGUUGGUGCACAUUCUGUCUAAGGUGAAUGCAAACUUGUAGCAAAUCCCUAAAGGAUUAAUCAAUGCUACCCCUACUCCUGCACCUUUAGAGGUUUUUGACCCAUCGAAAUACAACACCCAAGGUUUUAAUUCGAACGAAUUGAUUUCUAAUUCGAUUUCUUCAGGCAUGUCAAGGCAUGGAUGAUCGGCUAGAAAGUUAGCCAAAGCCUGAUUUUUUACUGCCUUUUGAGGUAUAUAUUGUAUUCCGAACUCUGAUAAAGCUAGUGUCCAAAGGCCUACCCUUUGGUGUAAAAUAGGGCGCGAGAACAUAUACUUGACUAAAUUUACUUUAGAAAUUAAAUAAACGGUUACGGGCCGUAAGUAAGCCCUUAGUUUUGUACAUGUGAAAUAUAAUGUAAGACAUAAUUUUUCAACAGCAGAGUAAUUACAUUCACAUUUCGUUAACCGUCUACUUAAAUAGUAAAUUGCCCUUUCUUCAUUAACUUGGUCUUCCUGCGUGACCAUUCCAGCUAUUGAUUCUUUUUCAGCCGACACGUACACUUUCAUCGACCGUCCUUGGAUUGAUGACACCAACACUGGCGGACUUGAUAGAUAUAUCUUCAGGCUUUCAAAAGCCUUUUGAUGUUCUUCUUUCCAGACGAAUUCGUCCUGAUUUUUCAGCUUUAAUAGCGACGAAAAAACUUUAGUUCGCCCUGCACAGUUAGAAAUAAAGCGUCUUAGAAAAUUUACUUGGCCUAGAAACCUUUGCAACUCCUUUUUGUUGUUAGGUGGUUUGGCUUCUAAGAUAGCCUUCGCUUUAUUUUUAUCAAGUUCAAUCCCUCUCUUAUGUACUAAAAAACCAAGAAAGUUCCCUGCGUUAACACCAAAUGCACACUUCAAGGGAUUCAACUUUAGCUUAUAUUGCCUCAUUCGUUCAAACGAACAUCUUAUCUGUUCGAAAUGGUCAUCUUCUUUAAUGGACUUGACCACUAUAUCAUCCACAUACACCUCAACAAACUUGCCUAUCAUGUCAUGAAAGAUUAAAUUCAUAGCCCUUUGAUAAGUUGCCCCUACAUUUUUUAGGCCAAAAGGCAUAACCACCCAUUCAAAACAUCCUAGAGACCCAGGGCAUCUAAAGGCAGUUUUGUGUAUGUCUUCUUCAGCUAUAUAGAUUUGAUUGUAUCCUGAAUACCCAUCCAUGAAAGAAUACAUGACAUGUCCGGCAGUUGAAUCUACUAAGGAAUCCACCGUGGGCAUUGGAUACUCAUCUUUGGGUGUAGCUAUGUUUAAAUUUCUAAAGUCUAUACACACCCUUAGUUUAUCAUUCUUUUUUAGUACUGGCACAAUAUUCGACAACCAUUCAAUAUAUCUGGCUGUUCUUAUAAAACCUGCUUUCAAUAAUCGCUCUAUCUCUUUCUUAAUUUCAGGGAGUACAUUAGGAACAAAACGCCUACGAGGUUGCCUAUGAGGUUUAAAAUUAGGCUUAGUUGGUAAUCUAUGUUCCACUAAGUCUCUAUCUAAAUCAGGCAUUUGUUCGUAUUCCCAAGCAAAACAAUCUUUGUACUCUUUUAACAAAGCGAUUAAUUUGUUACUAACCUCUUGGUCGAGCAUCUGGCUGAUGAACGUUGGGUGAUCUUCUCCUUCAUCGCCAAUAUUUACUUUGAUCAGAGGGUCUUGCGCUUGAGCGUAUCCAGGUUUGGCAAUCCGCAUCACUUCGUCGUCCAGUUCUCUUGUAAGUAUUUCCUCUUCCAAACAGUCCACUUUGUUGACUUCUCGGCCAAGGCUUUGCUCUAACUCGAAUACUGCCAACUUGUCCUUCAGCGCUUUUAGGGCAGUCUCUUCCUUCGCUUUAUCAUUGCAUUCCUUAUUGAAAGCCAUCAAUCUGGUUUGAAGGCCUGAAUAUCGGCCAUUUGCUUUUGUAACUCAGGAUCCAUUCAAGAUUCCUUGAUUAUUCUUUUUGCUAGUCACUGGCUCUUCUAGGGCCACUAUAUUUGGCCUCAUCUGUUUGAACAUCUCAGUGAGUGCGUCCACUGAGAAUGGUUCUUCGCUUUGCACGACAACUUGAGUUUCCUCCCCUUCUUGUACUACUCUGACAGGUCCAUAGUUUCCUUCGUACAUGAAUUUUUCCACCGAGUUCGCUUCCGCGACAAAAGGCCUAUGAUCGGCCUGUACCACCUCUGCUUCGCCUUUGUCAUUCCAAAAAAUCAGGCAUUGAUGGAGCGACGAGGGUAUACAACGACUUCCGUGUAUCCAAUCUCUUCCUAGGAGCACAUUGUAACUAGUAGGACCAUCUAUUACAAAGAAGACAGUGGUCCUAGUAGUCGUACCUAUAGUUAUGUCUAAAGGCAUAACUCCCUUAGCUGAAGUUGCUCCUCCAUUGAAGCUAGUAAGGAUGACUUCUGUAGGAAUCAUAUCACCCUCUGUCUUUGCGAACUUUCUCAUCAUCCUGGAUGGAAUGGUGUUUAUAGACGCUCCAUAUCGACAAACACCUUUGCCACUGGGACGCCGUUAACUAGAGCUUUAACGUAUAAUGGCCUCAGGUGUUUUGUCAAUUUCAUGGCUGGCCGUUUAAAAACAACCUUUUCGGCAGCCUCUAUUUCUACCUCUUGCUUGUUUUCUGUCGAAUUAUCCCCUUGUGAUAGGUCGACGUGUAGUAUGUCACGCUGAUCCUCUGUCUCUUGAAUUUCCUUCUUACUUUUUUCUAAUGCUUUCUCAUCAGUUAUCCAACCUGUGGGAGGGGGCAUUAUUCUUGGAGGUGGCCCAUACUUCUCAGAGCGAGGCACUCACUUCUUCUUUUUGGGUGUCCCGUACGGUACGUAGAAUUCGAAAGGACGCCCAGAUAGCUCCCCCAACAAGUCUACUUCGCGAACUCCCUCUUGAUGUAGUUGCUUAAACAGAGUGUUGCGCGAUACUCCUCUCCUUUUCCUUUCUGCUUCUAGGUCGAUUUCCUCUUCAAUGUCUGUCAUCCCAUCGUCCUCUUCAUCGUUGUAGGCCUCUCCAGAAGUCUGGCCUUCUUCACAUACCAGCACGCAGGCUUCUCCUUCGUUGUCCUCCCUCUCUUCUUCUUCUUCCUUAUUCUUGAAUUCAUUGGCCAGUAGGUAAUUAUUGGCCACGAUAGGAGGUAACGUACCGAAUUGGAUAGCAAGGGGCUGAUCUGGUUCUUCUUCAUCCCUUUUGUCCCUCUCAAACCUUGAUCUCCCAGAAGAGGUUUCUGGCAGUUCCUUCAUUGAUUCGUCUGUACCAAUCUCUUUACUUCCUUUGAGGACGUUUUGAUUGGCUACCUUGAGUAGUAGAGGCGCUUUGGGAUGUGGCAUUCCUUGUUGCUGCCUCAUCAUCCGUCCGUAGUUUCGUUGGAAACGCUUUUGUUGGGUCCUAGUCAUCUCAUCGAAGGAUAUUGCCCUUCCUGCACUGUACUGGAAUGAAUGCCAUACAUUUGGCCUGCGAGGUUGCGGCCUAAAUGUUCUUCCAGUAUCUGCUGGUCUGAACUGCCUUUCAAAAGGCGGUCCUCUAUAGAAUGAUGUACCUCGCCCUCUACCAGGCUGAAUGUUUGGGAAGAAGGCAGGGCGAUGAGGAUGUUGUCAUGUUCCUGGUUUCUCCGUGACUCCAUUUACUUCCCUUUUACACCUUGCACACAGGACGUUUUCGUCCUUUUUUGGUUCUUUCCCUUUGAUUCGUUCGAAGACACUGGGAUGUGUUUUAGUAUCCUCUUCUCCGUCAUCUAUGACCAACUUGAAUUUUGGCAACUUGUUCUUGAAUCCAGACGUUACCAUGUUUACCCCAAGUGGCUGUGGGAAAGGAUUCUCAUCCACUGCCAUCUUUUUCUUAUCAUCGAACGUAAUUCGUCUUGAUUCAAUAGCAUCCUGCAAUACGUGACGGAAAAUCAAGCAAUUGUUAGUCAAAUGUGACCAUGCAUUAUGCCACUUACAAUAUUUUUUACCCUUUAUUUGUUCAGGGUUUGGCAAUUUGUGUUUAUCGCUCAACUUUAUUUGCUUAUCCCUAUAUAAUUUAUCGAAUAUAAGGUCAGCUUUGGUCACAUCGAACGAGAACGUUCUAGCCUUUAUGUUUCCAUCCUUUAUGGGCUCAUCUUUACCCGAUGGUCUAGGCUUGGCCAUUAUGGGACAAGUAUAUGUAUCUCCUUUUACUAAUUCGGCCAAACACAUUUCGGCCUGAUCGCAUGAUUCGUCGUCGAUGGUAUGAACGUCAAAAUUUGGGUCUCUGUAAUAAGUCCCUUUACUAGAAUUUUUCAUUUGUUCUUCUUCUCUUAUCAGUCGUUCAUACCUAAUCACAUUCGCACUCAACUGGAAAAGGUCAGGAAAUUCCUUGUCCUGGAACUUCUUUUUUAAAUCAAAGCUCAAACAGCCUUGUGCGAUUUUGACAAAUUCUUUUUCGGGCAGAGGUACAAAACACUUGCUUCUUGCUAUUUUGAACCUUUGGAGAAAACUUUCUACCCAUUCAUUUGGCAUUUGACGUAGAUUUGCCAAAUCAGCCAAAGUGACUUCAGACUCAGUUUUAUAAAACUGAGCGUGAAACAACUGUUCCAGUUGUUGCCAUGUUUGAACAGAGUUCGCUAGCAAGUUGAUGAACCAGGAGAAAGCUACUCCUGUUAACGAACUAGGGAAAAGUCUCAUUUUAUGGUAAUCGGUUACAUCACCACUUUGCAACGUGAAUCGCCCUAUGUGUUCUAGAGUAGACACCUCUCCUAAACCGAUAAACAGUGAGAAUUCUGGCACUUUGUACCCUCUAGGCCAUGGAUAUGCUUGGUCUACCCAAUCAGGAUAUGGUUUUGUGUACGUCGGCCUAAUGACAGGACGCACUCCAAAAGCCAUCUGAUCCUGCACGAUUUCCAUAAUCUGGUUCCUCAGCAUGACAUUGGGAUCAUAUGGAAUUCCUACAGGUUGAUUAACCGGUUGAUUUACAUGAGGUCUAAUGUUUGGUCCUUGAUUGGCAACAAAAUUACCAUAAUUAGGGCCAUUACCAUUAGCCUGGACAUCUGUUCCCUCAUUACCACGUGGAAUAUUCUGUCCAUUAUUUAAGACAUUGUCUCUCACAUUUGGAUUACCCCCCAAGUUAGGCAUGCCACUACCAUUAUUUUGAUUUGGCACUGUAGUAUCCCCUUGGUUUGAAGUAGAGGGACCAGAAAGCGAUUCUACCCCUUGAUUCGGAUAUAGGACAGAGGGAUUAUGUCCCACAAUUGUCCUGGUUUGAAAGUGGUUUGUAAGAGGUAUAGCCAGCUGACAUAUUUGGCCUACUAACUUAUUCAUUGUUUCGUUUAACGUCUUUAGUUUGGCCAUAUUGUCAUAGUGUGCAUUUCCAUUUUGUGUAAAUCUUUCCAUAUUAUGAAUACUUCGAAAAUUUACUUGUUCGACGACGUCUUGCGUGAGUUUUCCAAGCAAUGCACGCAUGGUUCGAGGACUCAACUCCGUCAUUGGUUCGUAACGACUGUUACUGCUCUGAUUUUGUCCAUCUGUUCAUGGAGAGGCAUGCUGCUCCUCAUAUCGCUCGAUCACAGACUGGAUUCCUCCCUGACUUGCUCCUUCCUUGUCGAAUCUCUGAGGCAUAUUGUUUCACCUUUUGUACUUUCAACACCUAACACCACUGUCCCACCGAGAGUGCCAAAUUGUUUCGCGCGGGUUAAGUCGCUAACAAUUAAAAAGGAUCAGACGAUUGUGUAAGGGACAAACCUCUUGAGACAAAGUCCCAAAAAUGGGUGUUCUUUUAUUGGCGAUGAACUUUACAAUUGGGAAUGAAAAACAACGUGCCUCCAAGGGGCGCAAGCACACGAGUUACAGAAAGAAAAGCGUUUAAGUCUAAAAGCUAAGGAAAUGAAAAUUACAUAUUCUCUGUUCGAGAGUUUUGGAUUCGGUCCCUUGCUUCUACGUCCUUUCUCCCUUUUAUACCUCAUAGACGAUCUCUUUGUGAUUAACUACUCUAAAAAUCGCUUGAUCAUCCUAUAACUAUCCACUUUCUUUGUAGUGGCCAUUUUGUCAUGAAACUGCCUUUUAACUGCUGCCAUUAUCUUUCAUCGCUCAACCGCUUUCGAUUGAAUUCUUUGAGUCGUGGAACGUGAUAAGGCUACUUUAACAACUGUCUUGAUAACUGCAUUUCUUGAUAACCACGAUGCGUUAUGUUUGUUGAUACCUUGGGCGACUUGAAGGUUUGGGCGAGAAUAGAAUAAUAGCUCUGGGCGACCGUAUGAUACUCUAUUCGUUCAGAUUCUGGGCGACUUGCAAACUUAGGCGAUGGCAUUACCGCAUUCUUGGGCCCCUUAUUUGGGCCUUCACCUUGAUUCGUUCGAUUGGACUUCGUUCUUUGGGCUAUCCGAUUUGGGGAUCCUCCAAUUGGGCUUUACUCCUUGGGCUGUUCGAUUUGGGCUGAAUUUUUUAUGUGUCAACAGAACCAAUUCUUUGUAAUCAAACGAUCUCUUUCUAGUUGCUUUCUAAUUUAAAUUCUCUUAUGAUAUGGGGUUCUGCUUAUGACAGAAACUUUCUUUUCUCAUUUUUCCACCAAUUAUUUCUGGAGUACGUGGCUUUUUCUUUGCUUUUAACAUCGGAUACAGCACUUAAACUUUGAGCUAAUUGUGAUUUUUCAUCAGGAGAUUCCUGUGUAGCACUUGGAAAUGAAGGAGAUGCCAGAGCUGCUUUUUGAAGAUCCAAUUUUCUAGUUGCUACUCUUCACCUUCUUGGGAAUCUCCUAAAUCGCCAAAACUACCAUUUAUGAACGGGAUGGAUGAUAACUUUUCUGAUUUCGUGUUGAUAAAGACUCCUAAACUGCUGAAUCCUUGAAGGUACCAUUUGCUGACUUGCUGGUGAUAAUCCUUACUUCUUUAGUACUAGCUCAACAAUUAUCUGGUGAUCUCUUAUGUUAUUCUGCACCCGGAUGGAAUUAGGCUUUUUCCAUUUGGUCGACUAAGUAUACUUUUACGAUAAUGUUUUGGUCGAGACAGAUUUUCGUGGUUAUUUGUAACUGAUUUUAUGGUCGACUAAGUAUACUUUUAUGAACUUGUAAUGUUGUGAAUACGACUGUCAAAAGGAAAAAGAUUGAAACCUCCAUCACAAAUAUGAUGUCUUAACAAAACCAAAGUUUUCUCUUGACGAGGUUCAUGAUUCUUAAUAUGAUCUUCGGGGCCGUUUGAGCCCCAUUAUUUGUAAAUUAUAAUGAAAUGAAU